UGCCAGGCCCCUUGUCUUGCACUAGUUCAAGAGGGGGAGGUGUCAAGCUCUAGAAAUCAGUUUGAUGACACAGAAACUUUUGCAGCUAGGCAGCAGGUGCAUAGAGGCCUGCUGAACUUCAAAAGCAGAUAAAACAGGAUGUAUAGACACAGCCAUUUAGCACUCAGAAAGCAAUCACAUAAAGGAAGAGGACAGCCACAAAGGGACUGUGGCCAAGCCGCAUCUGCACUUCUACCUGCUAAGGAAACCAGAUGAAUUUUUUUAGGCUCACACCACAUUGUAAGCAAGGGGUAGAAAGCCACAAGCAGAAGAGAGAAAAUGGAUGCAGUUGUGACAGCAAGUCAGCUGACCAUGCCAAUUGCCUGAUGGAUACCGGAUUAGAGCACCCAGGGUAGGGAAACAGUGAUCAGAAAGUAAUUUGGGCAGCUGGUGAACUGUGGAGCUCACCAAUCUAUGAGUUCUCAAAAACACACAAACUGUGUCUUCAUGGUUCAAGGAAGAACCGACAUUACGCCCAAAAGGAUUAUCAAUCACCAACUGCACAAUAUCAUCUGUUGUAAAUUGGGAGCCUGAUUAAUAACAGUGAUUCAAACAUAGUCCUUGAAAAUUGUGAACUUUAUUGACUGACUGGACUGGUGACUUUCUCUUUUCAUGUUGUUUGCUCUCAAUUUGUGGUGCUUUCAGUUACCGAUACUGUAUACUACUAUUUCUGUUAUGAUUGUUUUCCACAUUAUAGAAAGUCAAUAGUGAAGUGCCAGGUGAAGCAGGUAAGUUUUUCAUCAAUCGUGUAUAAGACUUGUUGCCCUACUUUUGAUUUUUUUUCCUUAUUCAUCGGCGAAUGUACUGCACCUCUGUUUUCCUCUCUUGUCAUUGUGGGAAUAUCUAGAAAACAAGGGGAAUUUUCUAAACCCACUA